rnacentral:rRNA from 1 species
AGUGAACGCUGGCGGUAGGCCUAACACAUGCAAGUCGAACGGCAGCACAGUAAGAGCUUGCUCUUACGGGUGGCGAGUGGCGGACGGGUGAGGAAUACAUCGGAAUCUACUUUUUCGUGGGGGAUAACGUAGGGAAACUUACGCUAAUACCGCAUACGACCUACGGGUGAAAGUAGGGGAUCUUCGGACCUUGCGCGAUUGAAUGAGCCGAUGUCGGAUUAGCUAGUUGGCGGGGUAAAGGCCCACCAAGGCGACGAUCCGUAGCUGGUCUGAGAGGAUGAUCAGCCACACUGGAACUGAGACACGGUCCAGACUCCUACGGGAGGCAGCAGUGGGGAAUAUUGGACAAUGGGCGCAAGCCUGAUCCAGCCAUACCGCGUGGGUGAAGAAGGCCUUCGGGUUGUAAAGCCCUUUUGUUGGGAAAGAAAAGCGGCAGGUUAAUACCCCGCUGUUCUGACGGUACCCAAAGAAUAAGCACCGGCUAACUUCGUG